rnacentral:rRNA from 1 species
AUUGAACGCUGGCGGCAUGCCUUACACAUGCAAGUCGAACGGUAGCGGGCCUUCGGGUGCCGACGAGUGGCGAACGGGUGAGUAAUGUAUCGGAACGUACCUUUCAGUGGGGGAUAACGUGGCGAAAGUUACGCUAAUACCGCAUAUUCUGUGAGCAGGAAAGCAGGGGAUCGCAAGUCCUUGCGCUGAUUGAGCGGCCGAUACCAGAUUAGCUAGUUGGUGAGGUAAAGGCUCACCAAGGCGACGAUCUGUAGCGGGUCUGAGAGGAUGAUCCGCCACACUGGAACUGAGACACGGUCCAGACUCCUACGGGAGGCAGCAGUGGGGAAUUUUGGACAAUGGGGGCAACCCUGAUCCAGCCAUGCCGCGUGAGUGAAGAAGGCCUUCGGGUUGUAAAGCUCUUUCGGCCGGGAAGAAAUCGUAUCAGCUAAUACCUGGUGCGGAUGACGGUACCGGCAUAAGAAGCACCGGCUAACUACGUGCCAGCCGCCGCGGUAAUAC